UACGUAGGGGGCAAGCGUUGUCCGGAAUUAUUGGGCGUAAAGAGCUCGUAGGCGGUUUGUCGCGUCGGCCGUGAAAUCGUCCACGCUUAACGUGGAGCGUGCGGUCGAUACGGGCAGACUUGAGUUCGGUAGGGGAGACUGGAAUUCCUGGUGCAGACGGUGAAAUGCGACAGAGUAUCAAGAGGAACGAGCCAACUAGCGAAGGGCAGCUCGCUGGACGGUACUGACGCUAAGGGCGCGAAAGCGUGGGGAGCAACAGGAUU
rnacentral:rRNA from 1 species